UACGUAGGUGGCAAGCGUUGUCCGGAUUUAUUGGGCUUAAAGGGUGCGUAGGCGGUCCUAUAAGUCAGUGCUGAAAUAUCCCGGCUUAACCGGGAGGGUGGCAUUGAUACUGCAGGACUUGAGUAGAGUUGAGGUUGGCGGAAUUGACGGUGUAGCGGUGAAAUGCUUAGAUAUCGUCAAGAACACCGAUAGUGUAGACAGCUAACUAAGCUCUAACUGACGCUGAGGCACGAAAGUGUGGGGAUCAAACAGG
rnacentral:rRNA from 1 species